rnacentral:lncRNA from 1 species
GAGUUUUGUUCCUGCUAUUUUGUUUUGUUUUUGAGAUGGAGUCUCGCUCUGUUGCCCAGGCUGUAGUACAGCAGUGCAAUCUGGGCUCACUGCAACCUCUGCCCCCACCCACCGGGGUUCAAACAAUUCUUCUGCCUCAGCCUCUCUGGUAGCUGGGAUUGCAGGCACCUGCCACUAUGCCCGGCUAAUUUUGUAUUUUUAGUAGAGACGGGGUUUCACCAUGUUGGCCAGGCUGGUCUGGAACUCCUGACCUCAAGUGAUCCACAUGCUUUGGCCUCCCAAAGUGCUGGGAUUACAGACAGUUGUGAGCCUCUGUGCUCAACCGACUGACUUUAAUAAGUAAUUGUAAUUUAAAGUUUCAAUAUUUGUUUGUUUUCAGAAAAGUAAUAUCUUUGUGUUUUUUCCUCAAAUUAUAAAAGCAACACAUACUUUUUUUGUGUGAAUAUUUUGGAAGAUAUCCAAAUAGUAUAGAAGUGGAAAGUAGGGAAUA